rnacentral:rRNA from 1 species
GACGAACGCUGGCGGCGUGCUUAACACAUGCAAGUCGAACGGAAAGGCCCUGCUUUUGUGGGGUUCUCGAGUGGCGAACGGGUGUGUAACACGUGAGUAACCUGCCCUUGACUUUGUGAUAACUUCAGGAAACUGGGGCUAAUACCGGAUAUGAUCUCCUGCUGCAUGGUGUGGGUUGGAAAGUUUCGGCGGUUGGGGAUGGACUCGCGGCUUAUCAGCUUGUUGGUGGGGUAGUGGCUUACCAAGGCUUUGACGGGUAGCCGGCCUGGGAGGGUGACCGGCGACAAUGGGACUGAGAUACGGCCCAGAGUCGUACGGGAGGCAGCAGUGGGGAAUAUUGCAGAAUGGGCGGAAGCCUGAUGAAGCAACGCCGCGAGCGGGAUGAAGGCCUUCGGGUUGUAAACAGAUUUAGACUGUGACGAAGAGUGAGUGACGGUAAUGGGUAAAGAAGCACCGGCUAACUACGUG